rnacentral:misc_RNA from 1 species
AAUUGAUCGCCAAAAGAAACCAUUUUUCACUUACAAACUGAAAAGAAUUACCCAAGAAACCAACUUUAAUAUACCCAUUAUGAAUCAAGAUUCAGUAGUACUUGCAUGUGAUUUUUGUUUAUUUUGUACUUGCUCUUCUUGUGGUCCUUGUUCCUCCACUGGCUCUGCUACUGGAAUAUCUGCUCCUCGAGCUGCAGGUGCGUCGACCGGGCCGUCCAGACAAGAAGAGCAUUUUCUCUCUACCCAACCCUCAAAAUCAUAUUGCCCAUUACCCAUGACACGACGACCCGAACAGAGGCGACCAAUCAUGCCGGCUAUGACUCCUAGGAUGGUGAUGACUGCUAGAACUGCUAUCACUGGUCCAAUCGACCCGUGACCCGUGUGGGCUGUGUAGGCUUGCUGGGUCACAUCCAUGGGUGGUGGUUGUUGCUGCUGCUGGUCUAGUGGCGUAGACAUUUGAAAAUGGUAUAUAAGAAAUGAAACAAGUGAUGACCUUCUACAGUUUUUGUUGGGGGGGGGUUGAGGGGGGGUCCGGUUUGUGGUUUUCUUUGUUUUGCCCGAAAAUAGAAUUAGGUUUCUUGAUGGAUAUGGUUUCGAAGAAGUUUGGAUUCUGAAAUGCAAGAAUUAUUCAACAUUUUAAGGGUAAUGCAGAGCAAGAUAAAAAAGAAAAAGAAAAGGUGUACGGUGUUGAUAAGAUUCAGG